rnacentral:misc_RNA from 1 species
GGUGAAAAGGGAAAAAAAUGAUACAAUGAGGAAGAGUACAUGUAUUCCAUUGCUUGAAACCAGAAGAGCUACUAACAUUGAUUUUCACUUGAAGUUUCCAGCGGAGCAUUGGAAGAGUAAUGCAACUGUUUUAGCAGCUUUGGUUGUGGAAGAAUUCUUGAGGUAUUGAAGGAGGAGGGCAGUAUUUCUUUGCUACGAAUUUGUACUUAUGUUGGCUGUAUUUCUCCCGGAUUGCAGGUAAGGUAGAAUUAUGGCUGUUACAGCACAGGCGGUGGAGAUCCUUCGCACAUUCACA